CUGCAGCCAGUGGAGCUGAGCUGAGUAGGCGAGGAAGCAACAGCAGCAUAGAGCAGAGCAGACGAGGGAGGAAGAGAUCGGCGGAGGCAGAGGCCGGGGCUCUAGCUAGCUAAGCUCAAUCGAAUCAAUGGCGAACCGCCCUCGCCGGUCCGAACCCUAGCCUCUGUCAACCCAACCCGCGAUGACCCGUCACCAUGUCCUCCCCCCGCCACCCUCCCCCGCCGCCGCCCGCUAGGGUGCGCCUCGACGACGUGGCGGUCCACGACGGCGCCGCCGCCCCGGCCUACGCACGCUCCGUCGCCGCCCUCGCCGACUCCCUCGCCCGCCGCAACGCCGCCGUGCUCGAGCUCCCCGCCCACGACGCCGCCGUCGUCCGCUGCGCCCUCGAGUCCGCAAGGGCCUUCUUCCGCGGCCGCGCCUCCGUCUAUGUCUACCGCGCCGGGAGGACUUUGGAAGAUGGAGAGUUGUCCCCUGCUUGCAUGUCUGAUGCUUUCAGAUGUUUGGGUAAGGCGGCCCGUGUCGCUCUCUGCGCAAUAGCACGCCAUCUGCGCUUACGCACUGAUGUAUUCAACCAUUUGCUUGAUGAUACUCCGUUGCCUAUUAACGAGGUCUCAUCGUCAGAGUUGCUGGUGGCAUACUCGCAUGAACAGCUCCAAAGUGGACAAGCACCUAUGGGAUUUCUCAGGUCCUCAAUGCCUGAAGUUGAUAGGGGUUUUGUGACGCUAGUUGCUUCUGAUUGUCCAGGAAUUGAGGUUUGUGACCCAAAUGGCCAUUGGUAUCUAGCGGAUGGGGGUUCAGGCCCAACUGAUCUAUUGCUUCUGACUGGAAGGGCCCUAAGUCAUGUUACCGCUGGUCUUCGCCCAAUUUCCCAGUACAGGGCUUCUAAUGAGAACAGGGCAUCACUCACUUUUAGGUUAAUGCCUCAUGCAAAUGCUGUAUUGGGUUGCUCUCCAAUUUUAGCUGCUGGGCAUUGCAUAGGACAGAUACACCAACCAAUUCCUGCAAGCCAAUUUAUGGAUGAUUCGUGUGCUGAAGAGCAUGCUGUUUCCAGUCGCUUGGAAGAACCUUCUGAAUCUCAGGGCAAUUUUGUUAGUGAUCCAUCGCUCAGAAGUGUCCUCUCAGACCCUCUGUCCGGGGCUUUUCUUGAAGAUGCUAUGGUUCUCUCAUGUGGGCACUCAUUUGGUGGCCUCAUGCUGAAGAAAGUUGUUGAAAUGGCUAGAUGCACCAUUUGCCAUGGAGAAGUUGACCCAGCCUCCUUGUUUCCUAAUCUCGCUUUAAGGGCAGUAGCUACAGUGGUGAAGAUGGAAGAUGACAGGAGACUCUUUCACAACGCCGCUCUUCGAAAACGCAGGAAAGAUGUGACCGGGCAUACAGAUGUGCCGAAACGGGCCGGGAGUAGCAAAGACAACGGUGAGCUUGUUCUGGAUGCUGAGAGCUCGGCGCCAUUCAAGGGAGUGCAGUACCCAUUUGUGGUGGGCGAGAGAGUACUGAUCAUGGGAAACAAAAGGACGCCCGAGAAAUUCGUCGGGAAGGAGGCAGUCAUCACCUCGCAGUGUUUGAAUGGCUGGUAUCUCGUGAAGGCGGUCGACAGCGGAGAGAGCAUACGGCUGCAGUACCGAUCGCUGAAGAAAGUGAUGGAGCUGCAGAUGCAGGCGCUGGCAUUCCUGCGGUAAAAGGGGAACAACGACGUAUCAUUAUCAUCAUCUUCGUCGAUGAUGAAACUAUAACCAUCAUCCAAGCCACUGAUCCGGACACAUAGAUAUGUGGCCAAUCACGGGACGACAAAAAUGUACUACCAAGUUAGUAUUAUUAGUAUAUAUCAGGCACAGCGAGCGGAGCAAUGGAAUUGUGUUUAGUGCAAUGACUGGUGGACGCCACGAAGCAAGGAAGGAAAGAAGAAAGGAGGUUGUGAAAGGAAUCUGACCAGCGAACGUGUUCUCCAAGGGUCCAAGUUGGCGGCACCUGCAGACAAAAUCCAACAGCGAUAUGACGAAUCUGGCUUCCAAUUUAUCUUUCAUCUAUCCAUCCAUCCAUCCAUUAGCAAAGCAGCAGCAGUAGUAGUACAAGUAGUAAACUGACUAAUCGUUGUGUCAAGUGUAUCCACAUAAUUAAUCAAUUUAAUGCUGUACAUACAGGUAAAAACAUGAACUACGCAGCUGUUAAUUUCAUCUGAAAAUUCUUUAGGCAUUUUUUC